GACGAACGCUGGCGGCGUGCUUAACACAUGCAAGUCGAGCGGAGCGGCGAACGGGUGCGUACCGCGUGAGUAACUGCCCCCCUCUCCGGGAUAACAGUUGGAAACGGCUGAUAAUACUGGUUAGUGGGGGAUGACUCGGGUCCUAUCAGCUUGUUGGUGGGGUAGUGGCUUACCAAGGCGACGACGGGUAGCCGGCCUGAGAGGUGGACCGGCCACAUUGGGCUGAGAUACGGCCCAGACUGCUAGGGGGGGCAGCAGGGGGGAAUAUUGCACAAGGGUGGAAACCCUUAUGCAGCAACCCGCGGGCGGGAUGACGGCCUUCGGGUUGUAAACCGCUUUCGGCCAUGACGCGGUAGUGGCAGAAGAAGCACCGGCUAACUCCGUGCCAGCAGCCGCGGUAAUAC
rnacentral:rRNA from 1 species